rnacentral:rRNA from 1 species
UACGUAGGUGGCAAGCGUUGUCCGGAUUUAUUGGGCGUAAAGAGCGUGUAGGCGGCUGGGUAGGUCCGUUGUGAAAACUCGAGGCUCAACCUCGAGACGCCGAUGGAAACCCUCCAGCUAGAGUCCGGAAGAGGAGAGUGGAAUUCCUGGUGUAGCGGUGAAAUGCGCAGAUAUCAGGAAGAACACCCGUGGCUAAGGCGGCUCUCUAGUACGGUACUGACGCUGAGACGCGAAAGCGUGGGGAGCGAACAGG